rnacentral:tRNA from 2 species
GUAGAUAUAGUUUAACUUAAAACAUUAGAUUGUGGUUCUAAAAAUAAGGGUUAACUCCCUCUUAUCCACC